UGUGUGUGUGUGUGUGUGUGUGUGUGUAUGUGUGUGUGUGUAUGUAUACACACACACACACACACACACACACACACACACACACACACAU
ensembl:miRNA Gm24586 predicted gene, 24586